UAGGAUGUAGCUCAGUGAUAGAGCGAUUGCCUGAUGUGCAAGAGACCCUCUGGGUUCAAUCUCUCAUACUAA
rnacentral:tRNA from 1 species